CGGGCUUGAAAGUUAGCGACGGACUUGGAAACAGGUCUUCCCUUCGGGGCGCGAAACUAGGUGCUGCAUGGUUGUCGUCAGCUCGUGCCGUGAGGUGUCGGCUUAAGUGCCAUAACGAGCGCAACCCUUUUCCGUAGUUACCAUCAUUUAGUUGGGGACUCUGCGGACACUGCCAUCGCAAGAUGUGAGGAAGGAUGGGAUGACGUCAAAUCAGCACGGCCCUUACGUCCGGGGCGACACACGUGUUACAAUGGGCAGGACAGAGAGGAUCGAGGUAGUGAUACUGAGGGAAACUAUAAACCUGCUCCCAGUUCGGAUCGGAGUCUGCAACCCGACUCCGUGAAGCUGGAUUCGCUAGUAAUCGCGCAUCAGCCAUGGCGCGGUGAAUACGUUCCCGGGCC
rnacentral:rRNA from 1 species